rnacentral:ncRNA from 1 species
UUUCGGGGCGGGGUGAAAUUCCCCACCGGCGGUAUAGUCCGCGACUCCUUAUCCCUGCGGUAAGGACUGAUACGGUGAAAUUCCGUAACCGACGGUAAUUGCUUAAACAAAUAUUAAGCAUAAGUCCGGAUGAGAGAAA